UACGUAGGGUCCGAGCGUUGUCCGGAAUUAUUGGGCGUAAAGGGCUCGUAGGCGGUCCAUCGCGUCGGGAGUGAAAAGCUGGGGCUCAACCCCAGUCCUGCUUUCGAUACGGGUGGACUAGAGGUAGGCAGGGGAGAACGGAAUUCCUGGUGUAGCGGUGAAAUGCGCAGAUAUCAGGAGGAACACCGGUGGCGAAGGCGGUUCUCGUGGGCCUUACCUGACGCUGAGGAGCGAAAGGCGUGGGGAGCGAACAGG
rnacentral:rRNA from 1 species